AGCAGUCGCCGCGGUAAUACGAAGGGUGCAAGCGUUACUCGGAAUUACUGGGCGUAAAGCGUGCGUAGGUGGUGGUUUAAGUCCGUUGUGAAAGCCCUGGGCUCAACCUGGGAAUUGCAGUGGAUACUGGGUCACUAGAGUGUGGUAGAGGAUAGUGGAAUUUCCGGUGUAGCAGUGAAAUGCGUAGAGAUCGGAAGGAACAUCUGUGGCGAAGGCGACUAUCUGGGCCGACACUGACACUGAGGCACGAAAGCAUGGGGAGCAAACAGGAUUAGAUACCCCCGUAGUCCCUGUCUCUUAUAC
rnacentral:rRNA from 1 species